rnacentral:lncRNA from 1 species
GUGAGGAAUAGAAAUCGUGAGAUAUAAAGCUGAUGUUGCAUAAGGAUUCUCUCAAAAUAUUCAAAAAGGGUACUCAAGAGAUUUAAUAUGGACCAGUCUCAGUACAUGGGCGUGAGAUCACUUUUUUUGGACCCAUUCAGUCCAAAGGUGGACGAUAAAGAAGUCCAUUUAGUCCUGAGAUGGACGAUGCAAAAGUCUUGUUUUAGACACUGAUAUGAUUGGUCCAUAAGA